rnacentral:rRNA from 1 species
AGAAUCAACGCUGGCGGCGUGCCUAACACAUGCAAGUCGAACGAGAAAGUGGAGCAAUCCAUGAGUAAAGUGGCGCACGGGUGAGUAACACGUGACUAACCUACCCUUGAGUGGGGGAUAACCUAGGGAACCUGGGCUAAUACCGCAUAAUACCUUCGGGUCAAAGGAGCAAUUCGCUUAAGGAGGGGGUCGCGGCCGAUUAGUUAGUUGGCGGGGUAAUGGCCCACCAAGACGAUGAUCGGUAU